AACGUAGGGGGCGAGCGUUACCCGGAUUUACUGGGCGUAAAGGGGGCGUAGGCGGCCGUGUAAGUCCGGUGUGAAAUGCCACGGCUCAACCGUGGAACUGCGCUGGAAACUACACGGCUUGAGGACGGUAGAGGGAGACGGAACUGCUGGUGUAGGGGUGAAAUCCGUAGAUAUCAGCAGGAACGCCGGUGGAGAAGUCGGUCUCCUGGGCCGUUCCUGACGCUGAGGCCCGAAAGCUAGGGGAGCAAACCGG
rnacentral:rRNA from 1 species